AAGAAAUUUGUGCGAAAACACACCCUGGAACCAAGAUUUGACGGACCGUUCCAAGUUCUCCUGAUCUCCCCUACCUCUGUCAAAUUGGCCGGAAGGCCUAACUGGAUCCACGCUUCCCAUUGCAAGAAGACACCUGCCUCAGAGGAAGCUAACUCUAUGCAACCAUGUGCCUCUGGUACAUUAUCUCUUUAGUUGGCCUCCUUAAAGCCCAGCAGGUGGCCAUCACCAAAGAUGCUAG